rnacentral:SRP_RNA from 1 species
CCGUGCUAGGUGGGGAGGUAGCGGUUCCCUGUACUCGAAAUCCGCUUUAUGCGAGACUUAAUUCCUUUGUUGAGAACGUAUUUUUGUGAAGUCUGCCCGAAGCACGUAGUGUUUGAAGAUUUCGGUCCUAUGCAAUAUGAACCCAUGAACCAUGUCAGGUCCUGACGGAAGCAGCAUUAAGUGGAUCCUCAUAUGUGCCGUAGGGUAGCCGAGAUUUAGCUGUCGACUUCGGUAACGUUUAUGAUAUGCGUUCGAUACAAAGGUGCAUGG